rnacentral:misc_RNA from 1 species
ACGCAUGAUUACGAAGUGAAGAUGAAAAGCGUCGCCAAAUUCCUCGAGAACGGUGACAAGGUAAAGAUCACGCUGCGGUUCCGUGGCCGCGAACUGGCCCACCAGAACCUGGGCCGUGAACUGCUGGAGCGGGUUGCCGAAGACAUCAAGGAAAUCGGCAAGGUAGAGAACAUGCCGAAGAUGGAAGGCCGCCAGAUGAUCAUGAUGAUCGGACCGCUGCCGAACAAGUGAGCCUGCCAGCGGCUCCCGUGAAUAACCCCGUCGCAUCCCGGCGGGGUUUUCUGUUGCCGCCCGCAUGCCACUGGCA